GCACAUUUCGCAAUAUACAUCGGAAAAACUGCCCGCGCCGGCGAUGUCGUAUUGGAAUUUGUGCCGGUGGCGGCAUCUCUCUCCAUCCUGUGCAAUUCUGAGGUAUCCGUACGUAUUUGUAGCUCCUUCAGAGAAACGUCGUCUUGGGAAUUAUCGUUAAAGAUUUUGACUAAUAAGAGAAAGCCUUUGAGGCCUAGGGCACAGAAAUGUCGAGAAUCGAAAGGAUCACGGCAGAUGCA
rnacentral:lncRNA from 1 species